ACUCGCCGGCGGCUCAGGCCGGGAGGGGCCAGGACAGUCCCGGCCGCGCGGUGGACGGAGGGGCCAUUCCUCCGGGCGUUAGCAAAUAAAUUCCAUCCGAGUCAAUAUCGCCCAGCGAACGGUGUUUCUCUUUAGUCACCCGAGAACGAGAGGCACUUUUAAUUAGAAAUUAAUUAAUGAGCAGCUGCUCCUUCCCGCCCCACUGUAAUCAUUCGUCUCAAUUACAAAUGAGACCUAUGAAAGGACACGCUGAAGAUGUAAUCAACAGUUAAAAUUAGCCCGGCGCUGCGCAGGCGGCCGGCCCGGCCUCGCGCUGGCGCGCUCUGCUCCGAGUGGCAGGAAGGGGCUCGCAGGCGCCCCGCACGCGUCUCGUCACUAUUGUUUAAUCGAGAAUCAGCAACGCCUCCCGCCGGUUUCCACCCUACGCCGGAAUGGACUUUCAGAACCCACUGCGGCCGCAAGACAGCCCGCAAGAGCUGGUCAAAAUGCCCUCAGAUGAAAAUACGAGUUCUCCGAUCGCGUUGGACCGGAGCGGGCCACGUCCGAGCUGCUUGCAGAGGGAAACCAUCGGAAAUAAUGAAUAGCCGCUCCAUGCAAAUUAUUCAGACAGUUUAGCGUCGGUAGCCGCGAGAAAUAUAUAAAGAACACGAGUCAAAUGACAUUAAUAAUUGUUUCUGAAUUCUGUAUUGAUUUCGCGGCAGGCCGCGUUUCUUUCUUUCUCACCUGAAUCGCUAAUAUCACCUUCCUGUAA
rnacentral:lncRNA from 1 species